UUGCUCACGAAAGAAAAGGAGUGGCGAACGGGUGAGUAACACGUGGGUAACCUGGCCCAUCAGAAGGGGAUAACACUUGGAAACAGGUGCUAAUACCGUAUAACAAUCGAAACCGCAUGGUUUUGAUUUGAAAGGCGCUUUCGGGUGUCGCUGAUGGAUGGACCCGCGGUGCAUUACUAUUGGUGAGGUAACGGCUCACCAAGGCGUCACGGGUACCGGCUGAAGGGUGACCGGCCACACUGGGACUGAGACACGGCCCAGACUCCUACGGGAGGCAGCAGUGGGGAAUAUUGCACAAUGGGCGAAAGCCUGAUGCAGCAACGCCGCGUGAGGGACGACGGCCUUCGGGUUGUAAACCUCUUUUAGCAGGGGAAGAAGCGAAAGUGACGGUACCUGCAGAAAAAGCGCCGGCUAACUACGUGCCAGCAGCCGCGGUAAUACGUAAGGGCGCAAGCGUUAUCCGGAAUUAUUGGGCGUAAAGAGCUCGUAAGCGGUUUGUCGCGUCUGCUGUGAAACCCCGAGGUUCAAACCUCGGGGCCUUGCAAGUGGGUACGGGGCCAGACUAAAGUGCCGGGUAAGGGGAGAUUGGGGAAUUCCCUG
rnacentral:rRNA from 1 species